GACAGAGGGUGCAAACGUUGUUCGGAAUUACUGGGCGUAAAGCGCGUGUAGGCGGCCCUGUAAGUCGGAUGUGAAAUCCCACGGCUCAACCGUGGAAGUGCAUUCGAAACUGCAGGGCUAGAGUCCUGGAGAGGAAGGUGGAAUGCUUGGUGUAGAGGUGAAAUUCGUAGAUAUCAAGCGGAACACCGGUGGCGAAGGCGGCCUUCUGGACAGUGACUGACGCUGAGGCGCGAAAGCGUGGGGAGCAAACAGG
rnacentral:rRNA from 1 species